rnacentral:misc_RNA from 1 species
UUAAGUUCAGCGGGUAUUCCUACCUGAUCCGAGGUCAACAUUUCAGAGUUUGGUUUGUUUUACGGCUGUGGCCGCGCCGCGCUCCCGGUGCGAGUGUGCAAACUACUGCGCAUGAGAGGCUGCGGCGAGGCCGCCACUGUAUUUCGGGGCCGGCCGGUUAAGGGCCGAUCCCCAACGCCGGACCCCCGGAGGGGUUCGAG